ACCCAUCCUGAGGAGGGAUACGCACUCCAAACCCAUCCUGAGGAGUGAUACGCACUCCAAACCCAUCCUGAGGAGUGAUACGCACUCCAAACCCAUCCUGAGGAGGGAUACGCACUCCAAACCCAUCCUGAGGAGGGAUACGCACUCCAAACCCAUCCUGAGGAGGGAUACGCACCUCAUGGGAGGUCAAAGCGCCAGACUUGUGUAGCGUGUUGUUCUUUCCUUGUCUUUGAAGUGUGAAGGCCAAGUCCCUGCCCUCCGGCCUCUAGUCACGCCAUGCCUCUACCCAGCCAUGCCUAGCUUUUAUUUUGUAACGUGGGUCGCCCCCCAGGAUUUGUCUCCAGCCUGUUGCCGUUAGACAAAGCCCCCUUUCUGUGACGUCACGGAUAUGUUGUAGCUCUCUGCGAGGUCAAAACGUCCCUCCACCAGGGUGGGAUUGAAUUGGAGCAGAAACCUUCUGAUGCUCCUAGUGAGGCAGGGGGCCGUGUGGAACACAGAAGAUGUGGGCACCCCCAGGGCACCCUGUGGGAACAAAAGGAAGUUCAAGAGGUGGUUGGUUGCACUCCUAACUCCUAAUGUUUACUUAUUGGUCUUGCAUGAUAAAUUUACCUUCAACAUUGUUGCGUUGGGUUUAGUUAUGAUAUUCAGCCGUUUCUGUAUACCUCAUGUGCAGAUAGGGGUUUGCCCUGUUCUGUGUUUGAUUUUAUAUUUCAUCACUCAAUUCAAUUCUGGUGCAAAGCCAGAAUUGUGUUUAAUUGCAUGGAUUUUUUUUCUACUGUGCAAAUGACUUGUUUGACUUCCUAGCAUGAUAUUGUGUCAGUAGGAAACGGUGUACACAUAGUUCAAUAGAUCCUAGUUCACAGUCGAGGAAACACCAAGCACAACAAAGGGAGAUGAGGUUUGGGUUGGAAGGUCUCAGGCCUCCAGGACCCCAGAGUUCUCCAGAGCUCUCUGUGUGUGGGACAGGGUCAUGUGCUAUGCUACUCUGCUUCAGGAAACCAUGGCAACACGGCCCCCAUAAUGGUCUGCUUAACAUGGGCUAUAGGGUAGAUGGGGUGUAGGGUUUAGGGUAUAGGGUGGGUAGGGUAUAGGGUAGAUAGGGUAGAUGGGGUAUAGGGUAGGUAGGGUAUAGGGGGCUUAUAUAUAGGGGGACAGUCCACACUGCGCUGGAAUGUGAAUGUGGGUUUUCUCACUGCUAGGGAAUGUUGGUUUUGAAUGAGAGGAGUCAGAGCGGGAAAGACAGUGCCUUUGGUUACUAUGGAGACAAAGUUUAUAUAGGCCUACAGCAAAAAGUAAAUCUAUUUUUUAGAGGAUCUUAUUUUUCCCUUCCUCCUUACAGUGUUGUGUUGCCUGUAUGAGCUCAAUGUAAACAGUGUAUUUUUGAUAAUCGUCCCAAAGGUCCUCUAUCUGUGCAUCAAUACAUCCUGUUUAGAGGCUCAUUGUUGACCGUUGUCAUGUUGUGUGUCUAGUUUAGUUUGGGACUUCUGAGGUGUACGCAGAGAUGUGCGUACCGGUCAAGGACUGUCUCGAACUAAUUGAUGAGCUAGAACUAACUUAUAAAAACUAAGGACUAACUUAUCAGCCAGAUCACUGGACGAGGCCGGGGAAUGACACAAAGUCUGCUGAACUAUUCCUUGUAGUGAAUGUAACCUGGUCCAUGCUUCACUGUUCCUUAAGCUUGGCCUCAUGUUUUGAAAACGCAUUGUGACAAUUCCAACAGAUGGUACUGAAUGUUUGGCUUUGAUAGCAUGUUUGACAGAGCGAAGGCUGAUCUGUACUGUUUUGACGAGGAUGUUAGUUGUAGAUCAUAAGUUAAUUCUAUAAUGAGGGGAAUGCUAAUGUGUAAGCUUAUUAUGUGUUGUAUGUUAUAUUUAGUCAUCUCAUUUAUAGACACUAGAGGUUUGACCUCCAAUAUCUUUAUCAAUUAGACCAGUAAUUACUUUUAGAAAAACAAUUUGCAGAUUUAGCGGAUAGCUAUCCCCAAGCUGAAUGGACAGGAUGGAGCGUGGGCAUGGAAUCAUCUUCUGCAGAUCCAUUAUUCAUUGCUUUUGUUAGACGGCAUCUGUAGGUAUCCUGUUCUUCAUUUGGCAAUGACACCAGAGAAAUAAACUUGAAGGCCU